rnacentral:rRNA from 1 species
GACGAACGCUGGCGGCGUGCUUAACACAUGCAAGUCGAACGGUAAGGCCCUUCGGGGUACACGAGUGGCGAACGGGUGAGUAACACGUGGGUGAUCUGCCCUGCACUUCGGGAUAAGCCUGGGAAACUGGGUCUAAUACCGGAUAGGACUCCUGGCUUCAUGGUUGGGGGUGGAAAGCUUUUGCGGUGUGGGAUGGGCCCGCGGCCUAUCAGCUUGUUGGUGGGGUAAUGGCCUACCAAGGCGACGACGGGUAGCCGGCCUGAGAGGGUGACCGGUCACACUGGGACUGGGAGACGGCCCAGACUCCUACGGGAGGCAGGAGUGGGGAAUAUUGAACAAUGGGCGCAAGCCUGAUGCAGCGACGCCGCGUGAGGGAUGACGGCCUUCGGGUUGUAAACCUCUUUCAGCUAUGACGAAGCGCAAGUGACGGUAGUAGCAGAAGAAGGACCGGCCAACUACGUGCCAGCAGCCGCCGUAA